rnacentral:rRNA from 1 species
GAUGAACGCUGGCGGCGUGCCUAAUACAUGCAAGUCGAGCGAACGGACGAGAAGCUUGCUUCUCUGAUGUUAGCGGCGGACGGGUGAGUAACACGUGGAUAACCUACCUAUAAGACUGGGAUAACUUCGGGAAACCGGAGCUAAUACCGGAUGAUAUUUUGAACCGCAUGGUUCAAAAGUGAAAGACGGUCUUGCUGUCACUUAUAGAUGGAUCCGCGCUGCAUUAGCUAGUUGGUAAGGUAAUGGCUUACCAAGGCAACGAUGCAUAGCCGACCUGAGAGGGUGAUAGGCCACACGAGAACUGAGACACGGUCCAGAGUCCUAAGGGAGGCAGCAGUAGGGAAUCUUACGCAAUGGGCGAAAGCAUGACGGAGCAACGCCGCGUGAGUGAUGAAGGUCUUCGGAUCGUAAAACUCUGUUAUUAGGGAAGAACAUAUGUGUAAGUAACUGUGCACAUCGUGACGGUACCGAAUAAGAAAGCCACGGCUAACUACGUG